CUAAGAAUAUUCCGCAAUGGACGAAAGUCUGACGGAGCGACGCCGCGUGGAUGAAGAAGGCCGAAAGGUUGUAAAAUCCUUUUGUCGAUGAAGAAUAAGCAUGGGAGGGAAUGCCCGUGUGAUGACGUUAGUCGGCGAAUAAGCCCCGGCUAAUUACGUGCCAGCAGCCGCGGUAACACGUAAGGGGCGAGCGUUGUUCGGAAUUAUUGGGCGUAAAGGGCGCGUAGGCGGUCCUGUAAGCCCGGCGUGAAAACCUGGAGCUCAACUCCGGGCCUGCGCUGGGAACGGCGGGACUAGAGUCAUGGAAGGGAAGUUGGAAUUCCAGGUGUAGGGGUGAAAUCUGUAGAUAUCUGGAAGAACACCGGUGGCGGAGGCGAACUUCUGGCCAAUGACUGACGCUGAGGCGCGAAAGUGCGGGGAGCAAACAG
rnacentral:rRNA from 1 species